AGGUGCUGAGGAUCAAACCCGGGCCACACGCAUGCCAGGAAGAGCGUCAAAUGAGGACUGGUGAGGUUCUCACCAAGGGAGGAUCUACCAGUCCCUCUCCGUCUGUCUGCUGUCUCUCCACCCAUCCGCCCAUCUCUCUCGGUGGUAAUCUGCUCACCUCCAGAGGCACCGAGACGUAUUGCUGGGUUCAGCCUGAGUGGAGACAUCUCUAUUGGACCUGGCCCGCGUCUUUGGGCUCCCCAGGAAGAGGACCUUGAAGAAGCAUGGAGUGUGGUGGUGACAUGCCUGUGCCCCAGGACACAUGGCAGAGGCCUGGGGAUGGAGGCAGCCAGUAGCUGCACAAUGGCUGGCCAGUGACCUCCCAGGGUGACAGGGUUCCUGGCAGUGGGGAGCACGGGGAGCCUGGGUAGACCUGCCUCAGAGCCGCUCCAGGAGAGGGAGCCGGAGCCGGCUUGGCUCCCUGCGCCCCUCUGUCGUGGCCUCAGGGCUGCUUGUGGGUGUUACCCCGACUCUGUCCUCUGCCCAGGCUGACAAGCCCCAGGGCCCAACACCGCAGGUGCCCACAGGAAGUGGCCUCCUCCAGCCAGGGGGUGAGGGCCGAGGGGGUGGCUGGGCACAGUGGCAUCUGCUGCACAUGGUUUGUACCCUUGUUGUUUUUCAAUAAGCCAGACUCUCUGUGCGAGGCCCUCAUAGGCUGCAGACGUGCUCGGCGAGCCCAGGGAGGACAGAAGUGUCAGCUGUUGGCACAGGGGACCGCUGAACCUGCAGGCCAGGCGGCCAUGCAGGGUCUCUGCCCAGCCCCCAGAGGUCCUCUGGGCCCUGCCAGAUGACAAUGCCCUGCCAGGCUCCUGUCCCCAUUAUUGCAUGGGACUCAGUUAUACUAACACAACAUGUUGUGGCUUAUCUCACUCCCCCGCUCUCUGCUGAUGCUUUCUGGAAGCACCUCUCAAAUAAAGCCCUUGUGCCCAAA